UACGUAGGUGGCAAGCGUUGUCCGGAAUUACUGGGCGUAAAGCGUGCGCAGGCGGUUUUGUAAGUCUGUCGUGAAAUCCCCGGGCUCAACCUGGGAAUUGCGAUGGAGACUACAAGGCUUGAAUCUGGCAGAGGGGGGUAGAAUUCCACGUGUAGCAGUGAAAUGCGUAGAGAUGUGGAGGAACACCGAUGGCGAAGGCAGCCCCCUGGGUCAAGAUUGACGCUCAUGCACGAAAGCGUGGGGAGCAAACAGG
rnacentral:rRNA from 1 species